GCUUACGGCCCUACCACCCUGAAUACACAAGAUCUCACAAGAUCUCAAUCUGGCCUGGUUAGUACUUGGAUGGGAGACCUCCACGGAAUAUCUUGUGCUGUAAGCU
rnacentral:rRNA from 1 species